GUUAAAAAGCUCGUAGUUGGAUUUCUGUCGGUGAGUGGCGCUCCGCCCCUUGUGGUGAGUAGUCGUCAUGCCGCCGGCAUCUUCUUGGGGAGCGUAUCUGCACUUCACUGUGUGGUGCGCAAGCCAGGACUUUUACUUUGAGGAAAUGAGAGUGUUUCAAGCAGGCGUUCGCCGUGAAUACGUUAGCAUGGAAUAAUAGCAUCGGACCUCGCUCCAAAGCUGUUGGUUUCUUGGGUCGAGGUAAGGAUGAAUAGGGAUUGUUGGGGGCAUUCGUAUUUAACUGUCAGAGGUGAAAUCCUUGGAUUUGUUGAAGACGGACUACCGCGAAAGCAUCUGCCAAAGAUGUUCUCAUUGAUCAAGAACGAAAGUUAGGUGAUCGAAGACGAUCAGAUACCGUCCUAGUCUUAACCAUAAACUAUGCCGACUGGAGAUAGGGGGUCGUUAAAUUGGUGACGCCUUCUGCAUCUUGAGAGAAAUCAAAGUCUUUGGGUUCCGGGGGGAGUAUGGUCGCAAGGCUGAAACUUAAAGGAAUUGACGGAAGGGCACCACCAGGAGUGGAGCCUGCGGCUUAAUUUGACUCAACACGGGGAAACUUACCAGGUCCAGACAUAGUGAGGAUUGACAGACUGAUAGCUCUUUCGAGAUUCUAUGGGUGGUGGUGCAUGGCCGUUCUUAGUUGGUGGAGUGAUUUGUCUGGUUAAUUCCGUUAA
rnacentral:rRNA from 1 species